AACCGCCACCGUCUCAGCCUGAAGGCGCCCGAUCUCGUCUGAUCUCGGAAGCUAAGCAGGGUCGGGCCUGGUUAGUAUCUUCGAUGGGAGACCACCUGGGAAUCCCGGGUGCUCGAGGCUU
rnacentral:rRNA from 1 species